ACCCGCUGAACUUAAGCAUAUCAAUAAGCGGAGGAAAAGAAACCAACCGGGAUUGCCUCAGUAACGGCGAGUGAAGCGGCAAGAGCUCAAAUUUGAAAGCUGGCUCCUUCGGGGUCCGCAUUGUAAUUUGCAGAGGAUGCUUCGGGUGCGGCCCCUGUCUAAGUGCCCUGGAACGGGCCGUCAGAGAGGGUGAGAAUCCCGUCUGGGAUGGGGUGUCCGCGCCCGUGUGAAGCUCCUUCGACGAGUCGAGUUGUUUGGGAAUGCAGCUCUAAAUGGGUGGUAAAUUUCAUCUAAAGCUAAAUACUGGCCGGAGACCGAUAGCGCACAAGUAGAGUGAUCGAAAGAUGAAAAGCACUUUGAAAAGAGAGUUAAAAAGCACGUGAAAUUGUUGAAAGGGAAGCGCUUGCGACCAGACUCGCCUCCAGGGUUCAGCCGGCAUUCGUGCCGGUGUACUUCCCUGGGGGCGGGC
rnacentral:rRNA from 1 species